rnacentral:tRNA from 1 species
GGGCCGGUGGCAGAGCCGGGUUAUUGCAGCGCCGACGAUGCGCGUGGGGCCACUGGCGUGCCAUGCCCCACCAGGGGUUCAAAUCCCCUUCGGCCCG